GCGUUUCACUUAAACCACUUCAAAAUCCCUGCCAUGGUAGUGGAUGGAGGUCUCUUUAAUUUUUUGGAACUGUCAUAGCGGUCUGACACAUUGAAAUGGACGAACAAAUAUUAUGUCUCCGUUGUUUUAUUGUGUCUGUGUUAAUCCUAAUGUCAAUACCAACUGAAAGCAGCAUGGUUCAGUGGCAGCAAAAACAACUUGUUGCAAACGCCAGGGCAAGAAAAAGUCUUCAGUAGCAGAGACGUACGUGCAGAUAAGGUUACAAUAAAAGCGGCUAAUUGGUUUGGUUUCGACAGACCCGUCAGUUCCGACCACUGAACAAGAUCGGGGUCAGUCUCUUGGCAUUUCUAAACUUGGACGUCUACAAAGACUCGUUUGAUUUGCUUGGGGCUUCGUUGCCAAUGUGACUAACAUUUCACAUUGAAUACUGAAGCUUAAAACGAGAGCGAUAUCCCAAAGACGUAUCUACGGAUUGUUCAGAAUAUUGCACGAAAAACAUGAAAACUCAUGACUCUGUCCGAUUCAUUGUUAUCGAUGCCUUAAAUUAUUAUUUCUGUUGCACCCCCCCCCCCACCAAAUUUUGCAUAUCCGGAAAGUUGUCUUUUAUCAGAAUCGAAAUGCUGAACGAUUUUUUUUACUGUAAGGUUAAGUUUGACCAAGUACUUAAUUUGGUCCGUUUUGGAAUGGAACUUCUCUCGCAUGAACCAAUGUACAAAUCAUCUGAGGACAAAAUCGGAUUAACGAUGCGAAAUCAAAAGAAGGUCCUAGUAUAGAGGAAGACCACAGGAAACAACUAUAUCCUGUACUUGCGCCGUUAGAUUUCUUCUCGUUUCAGUUUUCCAUCAAAUAAAUAUCUCAGUUUGCUGAACACCGGCGGGAAUAAAAAGCCUUUUUAUAUUUGUAAGUUAAUAUUUCCAUCAAAAACAAACAGACGCUCGCAGGAUUCAAUAACUUAAAUUGGAGGUCGGCGCUCAGAUAUAGGUGUAUGUGCACACAUAGGAGCGUUAAAAUAAAUUGUGCUUGCUUGAGCUUGAACGCCAUGAAGGGAAAACAUUAAGUGUCACUUAUUCUAUUUACCUUCAAUAUUUCGUUCCUGACAACGUUGUUGCAAAUUCAGACAAAUGAAAUAUGAAAAGAAAUCCCUUCGGAAUUGCAACAUAAGGAAUAAUCAGAAUGAAUGAAUAGUGCACUUUGCUGUAUGAGAAGAACGCCAGCAACAUAAUCAGACUUUCCCUCUCCAGCUAGUUUUGCAUCGCCACAAAACUAAAUGGACUGAAACUACACACAGGUUCGGCGGCAGGGCAGCGAAUCGGGAUGAUGAGAGAAGAAAAGAGGGAGAGAAAGAAAACAAUACAGCCCUCAAGAGUCUUCUGAAAACUCAGCAAACGUUGCCUUUUUAAAUGUGACUGCACACUGUAUAACAUAACGGAAACAAAAUGAAACAAUUUUCUGCAGCGUUUGGAGCAUUCGUUAUUUCUUGUUGAAAUUUUAACAUUAAACUCUCCUUUCGGAGAAUUAAAGCGUUUUUUUUUAAAGAUGUCGAUUACAAUUUUUAACCUGGGCUUCUUUGUUUAAUUAUCGCAGCUAAAGCUGGACAAUUUCGUGCCUAUCAUUGAGACAUCAUUCAACAUGUAGGUAGGCAUUUUAAUAUUUUCCUAAUAAGAUCUACAGUUUAGUUUAUAAGAGACGGUCCUACUUCAAACUUCGAAAGGAAAUGAGAACAUUCAUCGCUGGAUUUGACAAUAAUAAUUCCUGAUUGCAGAAUCUAUUGUAACGAGAAUUUAUGACUGCGCAGCAGGAAGGACAGCAAAGAUUUACUGCACCAAGGUGGAAAGGAUUUCUGAAAUAGCCUAAUCAUUAAUAAGAAAAGGAUGGAGCCACUAAUUGGGAGAUAGUGAUUGGAGAUGGGGUGGGAGCAAGAUGAGUUCUGCUGGAAGUUUCCCACUUGUUCAACAUCGCCUUUCACCUUUAGCUAUGCUGUCAUCGUUCUGUGCAUUUUCUUUUCUGCUGACAUGAAAAGGGGGAAUGCUUGUGAUCUGGAAUUUGCUUGUAACAUUUUAUUGCUCUUGAUCCCCCGUCGACAGGAUUGCACUUCAAAACAACAGACUUGGGAGUUGUCAACAACUUCUGAAGUGGUCGGAAAGGGCUCCAGGGCUCCAGUUUUUCAGUUUCCAUAUAACGAUGUCAGCAAUUUCCAUGGAAAACAGUGCAGCUGUCAGCAAAGUGCCUGCAUUGUAAAAUUGUACAAGCCUGAACAUUCAAUACAACCUCAAAUUCCCAUUGCAUAACAACGACAGUACUUCAAGAAAAUACUUAACUCAUGAUGAAGCACUUUGUGGCAUCCUGAGAUGAUUAAAGGCAAUAUAUAGGUUCUUGAUCUUUCUUCCCAUUUGUGAAUUAGGGUCAGAGCAGGAAAACAAUAUGGUCAAAACAUCUUACCUUGCAGCUUUUAAUGUAAUUAUUUUUAAGUAAAUUAAUAGGUCAUUAUUUGGCAGGUCAUGGUGCAGUUGUAUCGGAAUUUGGUUCGGCCACAUUUAGAGUAUUACCUACAGUUCUGGCCACCACGUUACCAAAAGGAUGUGAUGCUUUGGAGAGGGAUCAAAUAGCUCAGUAAUUAUUCUUUCCUCAGUUGUUCCAGGAGCGCAAAAGCCAAAUGAAGCAAAAUGAUCAUGCAUAAUGCCUCUUUUUAUUACAUUUCUACAAUUUCAUUUUGUUUGGUUAAUGCGUUACUUUAAUUUGUUACUUUGCUACUGAAGAUUGAAGUGCAACCCUGAUGAAUGAUGUAAAGUUUGACAAUUGGUACCAACAUAAAUAUGACUUUUGGAUUGAAUUCUACCAUCAGAAGAUUAAUAAACAGGACAAUUUUACAAAGCCCACAUUAGCUGCUUGCAUUUUGUCCAAAAUGGAUGCUGGUUUCCCAAAGGAAGCAGCUAAUGUUGAUUAGCAAAAUGUAGUAUGAAAGCAAAAAGAAUUUUAAUAAAACAGUAUAAAUUUCCAAUUGUACAAGUGUAUAUGGUAUUCUGACUACCCGUUCCCCACUCUUAUAUGGGCACUGAAAAUGCUGAAUAAUUUUGAGUAAUUUCACAAGUUCAAAAAUAUUCUAAUUGUGAUUACUUUCAUAUUGCUUUAUAAUAUUCAGAAGUUAUAUGAAAAGUAUACAUUAAUAUAAUCCAAAGUAUAAUAUUAUUAAUAAUAACAUUACUGACUGCAAUACAAUUAAUCAUCCUUUGAAAGACCAAUAAUACUCCACUUCUAAUCUAGGAUAUAAAGACAUAACUGUUAAUCUUUGGAAUAUGUUGUGAUCAAACAUCUCAGGAGUAAUUCUGCCUGUAGGAAAUAUAGAGAGAAGACAAUUGAUGUGAAAGAUGUCUGAGUUAGUAUAACAAAUCAUCUUAAAGAUCAGGUAACUCUACCCUUCCAGUGAUUUACGACUCUUGAAUUUAUCCCAUUAAAUUCUUAUCCUCUUUCAACUUGCCUAAAAGAAAUGAAUAAAAAUUUAUUUAAAUAUUAAUUCAUGAUGUAUUGUCUUCAAAGCCUCUGCUAGGCUAUUGGAUUUGUAGAAUGGUAGAACCAUAGUAUGAUAUUGCACAGAAAGAGUCCAUCUGUUUCAUCAUGCCUGUCUGUACUGUUUCAAAGGGGUAUCUGAUCAGUCCCAGUUCUUUGUUCUCCCAACUGCUGUAUAAAUCUUCCCCCUUCCAGUAUUCUUCCAAAACCUCUUUAAAAGUUAAAUCUGACUCUGCUUCAAAUAUUCUUUCAGGUGUAGAUUCCAUUUGGAGCACCCUGAGCCAGUCUGCCUUUGUCUUACUGUGCUGGGAGUCCCUGAGCGAAGACUAUACCCCUUGACUUCACUGAGGUCUGUUGAUAGAUAUGACAAGCUUCCUGGUUUUGUGUCUGUGUUGAAUGAUUUGGCAAGCAGCAGUAAUGUUAGUCUGGGACCUCUGUCUGAAUGCACAAAGCACAAAAAGGCAAGACAAGACAGAACAGGAAUGCUGUAAGCAUUUAGGUAGACUCAGAGUGAGUGAGUGCUGUCACAGCAAACAAAGGCCUUGAAGGCAGAGCUUGCUCUUGUCCAUGAGCAGGGUGCAUGUCCUGAACACACAGGGCCCUUGCUGCAGCAUUACAGGUGCACCACUGAAGUGCAGAAGUGGAUCAGUGCGUAAGUUUUCUUAGAAGCUGGCAUGUUUUGGAUUGCUGUGUCUGCAGAUAUGGAGUAAAAUGGCCGGGGUAGGGAGUUGAAUGAUGGGCAACACAUGCCUGUCUUGGCUCUUUCUGCCUUAUUGCAGGCUAUUUUCUUGGAAUGAGAGAGAAGCAGGCAUUAUUGAAGAUGAAAAUAGUCAGCACAGUUAUUACGCUAGGAACAGGUGGGGAGACGUCCCAAGUAAGGAUCAGGAAGCACAGGGGGCUUACAGACUCAGUAGUGUCAGGAGUUGAGGCGGGCGACAUCAAAUGGGGGAGAUGUUGCAAGCAAUAGUGAGAGUUGUAGAGCAUGCACCUUGGUGGGAGAUGGGUGCAGUCGCAGAGACAGAGUGAGCUUGCAACAUCUGAGAGAAGAUGGUGGAACUUCUCCUCCACACUAUAUUGCUGGGCAUUCCUUCAGGCAGCUGAGAGUGCUGUAUGCCUGGUGAUGACCUUGGACCAGGCUGGCAUGGUCUGGUGCUAUAGCCUCCACCACUGGUCUUGGGGGAGGAGGAAGCCCCACAUCAACAAUACACUGUUGAGGAGGACUUCAAGGAGCCUGUCCACAAAGUGGGGCACAAUUUCCCCUGUGUAUCAUUUUUAGGGGAAAUGUCAACAACUGUGCAAGGCAGCUGUAGAUUGGUAGUGCAUAUUCAGGUGUACAACAGGCUUUUAAGGAUGGUGAAGGUGCCAGGGUGCCGAUCAAUUCUGGGAUAUCCACUAAGUGGUGACUUGUUCAGGGAAUGGCAUGAGGUCAAGUGGGUGAUAAUUGAAUGUGAUGGACACUAUUGUGGCAUAGUAAGUAAAUAAUGAGGCAAACUUGAUAAGAUAGGAUGAGAGAACUCACUCUGCCUCAUGGUAAUAAACCCUCCAAAAAGCUUGAUGCAAAUGUGGACUUAGCAAAAACAUGUAAGAUUCAGCCCAGUAACUUUAAACAACAGGGAAAAGUUAGGAACUUCAGACAGCUAUGAUAUAGUCAUUUCGAUACAUAGUAAUCUUGAUUAAUUCCUUUUAUUCCUGGGUUUCUCAUUUCUUAUACAUCCUGUACAAUGCUUUUGUCUAAUAACACAUGCAAAUAGCUUCACAGUCAGAGAAAAUCUAACCAUCGCACUCACUUUCAGUAGCAUCACCACAGUUGAAUCCCACGCCAUCAACAUUUUUUUGAUUACCAUUGACCAGAAACUGAACUGGAGUAGCCAUAGAAUACUAUAGUUACAACAGCAGGUCAGAGUCUGGGAAAUCUGCAGUCAGUAACUCACCUCCUGACUUCCAAAAGCCUGUCCACAAGGCACAAGUCAGGUGUGUGACAGAAUACUUUCCAUUUGCCUGGAUGAGUGUAGUUCCAACAAAACUAAAGAAUGUCAAGUGACUGGCCAGGAUUAAACAACUUGCUUGACUGGUACCCCAUCCAUCACAUUCAGCAUUCACUUCCGUCACUACCAAGGCAAAAUGGCUGUAGUGUGUACCUCUUAUAAGAUGCACUUAGCAAGUAACUCAGCAAGAUUUCUCUUCCAAACCUCUACCAGUGAUCUUUACCAUCUAAGAGCACCAAAGUAGCAAACCUAAAGGGGCCCCAUAUGGACUGUAGCAGUUCAAGUUGGUGGUUCACUGCCACCUUCUUAAGGGCAAUUAAGGAUGAACAGUAAAUACUCACCUUGGCCAGUGACAUCCAUCUUCAAUGAACAUGAACAAAUAGUCAGUUUUGACCCUUCCCUGCUCUCCUUCAAGAGAUAUGGAGCCUACACGUAGUCUUUUUUGACAUUUCUGCGGACAACAUCGGCCACAUAAUAUUUUAAUCCACUGAACAAAUCUCUGCUAAAGCACAGACUUAUUCAAGAGCCCAAAAUAAAAAGCUCCAUUCAAUCCAAUCAAAUGUUGGUUCAGCAUGCAGAAGAACACCAGCGCUGAGCAAUGAACCUUCCCAUCAACAUUUUUUAAGAUCAAGUACCUUAUGGAUAUUAUUAAAGGCACGUUGAUGUUAUAUAAAAUGCACUUGGCUCCAGUGUACAUGUUUUGACAUUGUUUUCUAUCAUCUUGAUGCCAAUGUCUUGGCUAAAAUUUUGCAACAAACCCAGAAUUGGCUGGUCAUUCAUACAGUCCACAAGAGCUUUUUUGUGCACUUCACUUUUUUAAAGUCUCCAAUGACGCAAGGUCUGACCACAUGACAGAAGGGCUUCCUUCAAUUUGAGGGGAGUAAUUUAAAGUAUUUAUCAAAAAAUGAGAAGUAGGAUCAAUUGUGAAGAGUCUGUAGACAGCCCUUUCAAGCAAAAACAUUUGCUAUCAAACAAAUAUUGAACAUUAUUCUUCAGUUCUAAUGCUGCACUGUUUUCCUGCUUACCAUCAAGCAGAAUAUAUAUUAAUUCAAAUAUUUCCUGUAUUUUAUGAGUUAAUAUAUUCCUCCGGAAGGCCAUAAUCAUUAACUAUCAAUUAUAGGUAAACCUAUAGCUGUUUAAAUAUAGAGCUCUAAAGCAAUUAACCACAUUCAAAUUAUUCCAAUUGUAAGGAUUUGCUGAUCCAAGUACAAUAUAAAAACGUAUAAAAUUUCCUAAGCGUAUAGUAUUUCCCCAGUUAUCAGAUUGCUAAUCUGUCACAUACCCAUAUAUUAAUAACUAAUAAGAAUUUGAAUUCUAAAUAAUUUUAACAUGUAUAAUUCAUAAUGAA